rnacentral:rRNA from 1 species
AGAACGAACGCUGGCGGCAUGCCUAAUACAUGCAAGUCGAACGAACUCUUCGGAGUUAGUGGCGCACGGGUGCGUAACGCGUGGGAAUCUGCCCCUUGGUUCGGAAUAACAGUUGGAAACGACUGCUAAUACCGGAUGAUGACGAAAGUCCAAAGAUUUAUCGCCAAGGGAUGAGCCCGCGUAGGAUUAGCUAGUUGGUGAGGUAAAGGCUCACCAAGGCAACGAUCCUUAGCUGGUCUGAGAGGAUGAUCAGCCACACUGGGACUGAGACACGGCCCAGACUCCUACGGGAGCAGCAGUAGGGAAUAGUGACAAUGGGG